rnacentral:rRNA from 1 species
CCAUCACUGACGNUCAUGGACGAAAGCCAGNNGAGCGAAAGGGAUUAGAUACCCCUGUAGUCCUGGCCGUAAACGAUGAACACUAGGUGUCGGGGGAAUCGACCCCCUCGGUGUCGUAGCCAACGCGUUAAGUGUUCCGCCUGGGGAGUACGCACGCAAGUGUGAAACUCAAAGGAAUUGACGGGGGCCCGCACAAGCGGUGGAGUAUGUGGUUUAAUUCGAUGCAACGCGAAGAACCUUACCAGGGUUUGACAUCCUGCGAAUCUCUUGGAAACAGGAGAGUGCCUUCGGGAACGCAGUGACAGGUGGUGCAUGGCUGUCGUCAGCUCGUGUCGUGAGAUGUUGGGUUAAGUCCCGCAACGAGCGCAACCCACGUCUUUAGUUGCCAGCAUUUAGUUGGGCACUCUAGAGAGACUGCCGGUGAUAAACCGGAGGAAGGUGUGGAUGACGUCAAGUCAUCAUGCCCCUUACAUCCUGGGCUACACACGUACUACAAUGCUACGGACAAAGGGCAGCAAGUUCGCGAGGACAAGCAAAUCCCAUAAACCGUGGCUCAGUUCAGAUCGCAGGCUGCAACUCGCCUACGUGAAGGCGGAAUCGCUAGUAAUCGCAGGUCAGCAUACUGCGGUGAAUACGUUCCCGGGCCUUGUACACACCGCCCGUCACACCAUGGAAGUUGGCCACGCCCGAAGCCGUUACUCCAACCCUUGUGGAGGAGGACGUCGAAGGUGGGGCUGAUGACUGGGGUGAAGUCGUAACAAGGUAACC